rfam:Rhodobacteraceae bacterium GWF1_65_7 gwf1_scaffold_1078, whole genome shotgun sequence.
CUUAUGGGGUCGCGCGAACGCCCCACGAGGCGCCAGCCGAAGAUCGCGUUUCAUUUGAGCGAAACAAGACCUGAGGAGGACCGCAGAUGCGUGCGCCCGAUG